rnacentral:rRNA from 1 species
AGCAGCCGCGGUAAUUCCAGCUCCAAUAGCGUAUAUUAAAGUUGUUGCAGUUAAAAAGCUCGUAGUUGAAUUUCGGGAUCAAUACGCCUGUCGUGCCUUCGGUACGUACGGGUGUAAUUGGUCUCUACCUUCUGAGGAUCCUUGAUGUCAUUAAUUUGGUGUCUUGGGGAAUCAGGACUGUUACCUUGAAAAAAUUAGAGUGUUUAAAGCAGGCAUACGCUUGAAUACAUUAGCAUGGAAUAAUGAAAUAGGACGUUCGAUUCUAUUUUGUUGGUUUCUAGGAUCGACGUAAUGAUUAAUAGGGAUAGUUGGGGGCAUUAGUAUUCAAUUGUCAGAGGUGAAAUUCUUGGAUUUAUUGAAGACUAACUACUGCGAAAGCAUUUGCCAAGGAUGUUUUCAUUAAUCAAGAACGAAAGUUAGGGGAUCGAAGACGAUCAGAUACCGUCGUAGUCUUAACCAUAAACUAUGCCGACUAGGGAUCGGAUGAUGUUAAUUUUUAAUGACUCAUUCGGCGCCUUAA